UACGUAGGGUGCAAGCGUUGUCCGGAAUUAUUGGGCGUAAAGAGCUUGUAGGCGGUUUGUCGCGUCUGCUGUGAAAUUUCGGGGCUCAACCCCGAACUUGCAGUGGGUACGGGCUGGCUUGAGUGCGGUAGGGGAGACUGGAAUUCCUGGUGUAGCGGUGAAAUGCGCAGAUAUCAGGAGGAACACCGGUGGCGAAGGCGGGUCUCUGGGCCGUAACUGACGCUGAGGAGCGAAAGCGUGGGGAGCGAACAGG
rnacentral:rRNA from 1 species